rnacentral:rRNA from 1 species
GUGCUUAACACAUGCAAGUCGAGUGCGCGGCUGUAGCAAUACAGCUGGCGCACGGCGCACGGGUGCGUAACACGUGGGCAAUCUGCCCUCGGAUGGGGGAUAACCCCGCGAAAGCGGGGCUAAUACCGCAUGACAUUCCGGAGACUCCGGUCUCUGGACUCAAAGGCCGCAAGGCCGUCUGAGGAGGAGCCCGCGCCCGAUUAGCUUGUUGGCGGGGUAACGGCCCACCAAGGCUAUGAUCGGUAGCCGGUCUGAGAGGAUGGCCGGCCACACUGGAACUGAGACACGGUCCAG